UACGAAGGGGGCUAGCGUUGUUCGGAAUCACUGGGCGUAAAGCGCACGCAGGCGGAUCGUUAAGUCAGGGGUGAAAUGCCAAGGCUCAACCUGGGAACAGCGCUUGAGACUGGCACGCUCGAGGUUCGGGAGAGGAUGGUGGAAUUCCCAGUGUAGAGGUGAAAUUCGUAGAUAUUGGGAAGAACACCGAUGGCGAAGGCAGCCAUCUGGACCGACACUGACGCUGAGGCGCGAAAGCGUGGGGAGCAAACAGG
rnacentral:rRNA from 1 species